rnacentral:rRNA from 1 species
UACAGAGGUCUCAAGCGUUUGUUCGGAUUCAUUGGGCGUAAAGGGUGCGUAGGUGGCGCGGUAAGUCGGGGUGUGAAAAUUUUCGGGACGCUUAACUCCGAAACUGCAUUCGAUACUGCCGUGCUUGAGGACUGGAGAGGAGACUGGAAUUUACGGUGUAGCAGUGAAAUGCGUAGAUAUCGUAAGGAAGACCGGUGGCGAAGGCGGAUCUCUGGACAGUUACUGACACUGAGGCACGAAGGCCAGGGGAGCAAACGGGAUUAGAAACCCCUGG